CGGGAAUUCUCGUGGAUAUCCUCCCCUGGAGCCACUUCCCUUUGCUUCCCCAGGAGAUAAUCCCGUUUUUAGGGUUAUUGUGCCCCAUCCUUGCUCCUUCUUCCCUGGGAAGGAACAUCCUGGGGUGAAGGGGAAUUCAAAUCCCAAAUCCCGGCUCUGUGAGUUCAUUUCGGAGCUGGGAAAAGCCGUGGAUGAGGAUGGGAUCCCAACCCAGGGGCUUGGGAAUGGUGCUGGAAAACCCUCCCCAUCCUUUCAUUCCCUGCUCCCGGUUUAUCCUGGAGCAAAAUCCCAGGACAGGAAGAUGACACAGAGAAUUAGAGCCAGGAAUCCCACUUUCCCAUUUUAUUCCGGAAUCCCUGGGCUUGACCUUGUCCCGCUGCAUCCCUGGGAGCUUUCCCAAGUUUUCCUGUCCCUUUGUUUUGUCCCAGGAGGAUAAAAACCUGGUGCACGGGAACGUGUGUGCCAAGAACAUCCUGCUGGCCAGGAAAGGGCUGGAAGACGGAUCCGCUCCCUUCGUGAAGCUCAGUGAUCCCGGGAUCAGCUUCACGGUGCUCUCCCGGGAAGAGCGCGUGGACCGGAUUCCCUGGAUCGCCCCGGAAUGCGUCCGGGAUGUGGGAAACCUCAGCACGGCCGCCGACAAGUGGAGCUUUGGGACGACCCUGCUGGAAAUCUGCUUCGAUGCCGACGUCCCGCUGAAGGAACGGACCCCUUCCGAGAAGGAGCGUUUCUACGAGAAGCGGCUGCGGCUCCCGGAGCCGUCGGGGCCGGAAUUGGCCUCGCUCAUCUCUCAGUGCCUCCAUUACACCCCCGGGGAACGACCCUCCUUCCGAACCAUCCUCAGGGACCUCACCCAGCUCCAGC